CUGGCCGUCUUGAUUCUGAUUCUGAUAGUUAGGGAGAGAAUGCUCAAGCUAGGGCUUUCCUUAAAUCGACCGGCUGAAUCUAAGAUGACUGAAAUCGCCGCAUGAGCCCUCAAUUCCUGCUACGUUGCCGAUUCUGCUCCUGAGAGCUAGGUUUUAUCGGCAUCGAAACGGAAUAGUUCUGCUAUGAACAGGAUUUUUGAUAACGUUUUGGCUUGUGCUUUCGAGGGAUUCCAUACAUUUCUUGGUAUUUGAAUUGAAAUUUUUUGACAUACCAUGUCGGGAAGAAAUCGUGGACCUCCUCUUCCAAUGAAAGGUGCUCCUCACGCUGGACUACCUCCUCCAAUGCAUGAACCUCCUUUUGGUGGCAGAGGGCUAGGGCCAUUGCCACACCCAGCUCUACUAGAAGAGAUGAGGGAAUCUCGGUUGGGCCCCAGGCCCCUUCCUCCUCACCCUGCUAUAAUUGAGGAGCGUCUUGCUGGUCAGCAUCAAGAAAUUCAAAGUCUCUUAGUGGAUAACCAGAGGCUGGCUGCAACUCAUGUGGCUCUGAAACAAGAACUGGAAGCGGCCCAGCAUGAGCUGCAGAGGAUGGCACAUUUUGCAGAGUCACUGAGGGCAGAGAAGGAUGUGCAGAUGAGAGAAUUGUAUGACAAGUCUGUCCGGAUGGAAGUGGAUCUUCGUGGGGUUGAAGCCAUGAGGUCUGAACUUCUUCAGGUUCAUUCUGAUAUUAAGGAGCUUACUGCUGUGAAGCAGGAACUCACCGGUCAGGUUCAACUAAUGACCCAAGAUUUAGCCAGGAUGACGGCAGAUUUGCAGCAGGUUCCUGCUUUGAGGGCAGAUAUUGAGGCUAUGAAACAAGAGUUACAGCGUGCAAGAGCUGCCAUUGAAUAUGAGAAGAAAGGGUAUGCAGAAAAUUAUGAACAUGGUCAGAUGAUGGAGCAGAAGUUGAUCACAAUGGCUCGGGAGCUGGAGAAGCUUCGUGCUGAGGUUGCUAAUGCUGAGAAAAGAGCACGUGCUUCUGUAGCUGUUGGGAAUCCAGGUCCAGGUUAUACUGCAAACUAUGGCAGUGCUGAGGUUGGGUAUGCUGGAAAUGCUUACCCGGUCAACUAUGUCAUGAAUCCUGUACAGUCUGGUGUGGAGAAUUACCCUCAGUAUGGGCCUGGACCUGGCACUUGGGGUGCGUAUGACAUGCAGCGAGCUCAAGGACACAGAUAGAUUUUUUCUAUCUUGCUAAGCAAUCUCAUAACUGUUGACGUCGCAAGGUGCUUGUAGUGACGGUGGAGCUAUGGCACACUGCACAGUGCAACAUUGAAGAUGGUGUACAUGAUAUGGUGAUAGAAGAAAAGCAAAACAGAAAAUAUGUUUGAAAACUAAGAUGUAGAUUUGUAGUAUGUGAUACUCUCGAAGCCUUUUAAUUAUAAACCCCAUCACUUUCAUCUUUAACUAGUUGUUUAGUUGCUUUCUGGAUAUUUGUGGUUCAUUGAGUUUUAAACGUGUUUCUGAAAACGUAGGCGUUGCAAGUGACCUAUUAACUUAAAUAUCUAUUUUAAUGCAUGAUAUGUCAAAUCACAGCGCAUCAGCUAAAUUAAACUGUCUUCAAAUAAUUCAUUGGCUUGAUUGUUAAGGAUUAAGCAUAUGAGGUAGCACAUAAAUAUGUAAUUUAAUUCUUGCAUCUGAGUCACAGAUAGUGAGCGUGAGAUAUAUGCUUAACACUUGUUAAUAAAUAAUAACUAAUGACGAGUGAAUGUAUGCUGCUGUACUAUUCUCUAGGAUUUGUCAAAAACUUAAAGAGUGCAAGUUGGCCAAUGCUGUGUACUGGCCAACACUAAUUCUAGCAUAUGGUGAAUAGGAGGAAAUAGAUGGCGAGAUAGAAUUUAUUAUAGAGGGAGAUGACUACUUUAUAGCGAAGCUCAAAAUAUAAGUACAAGCUCAUAGACUAUAUAUUUAAAAGCAUAUAAAUACAAUAUGUUGACACAUACAAGUAUUUAAAUGUCUUUAUAUCUUUUGAACUAUGUUGAAAUCAGUGGUAUUAUAAUUGCAUGGUUUAUGAUCUGAAUUUUAUAGUUCAUUCUGACAAGGCAGUCAACAAUACAGGUUGCUUGCAUGAUUCAAAAUGAGUGAGCAUUGUGGCCACAACUGUUAGAACAACUGCGCAUAUUUGUUUCUAUCUGAAUUGUUUGUGCUAUUCCAAUAGUCAGAGAAGACCUAGAUAUUUGUUUCCCCUCUUCAUUUUAAGCUGGGUUUGUGCAGUCUGACUUAGAAGGACAUGUUUAAUGCAUGUUCUGAACUAAUUUUUCCUUCUUUUGAUUUGGUAACUUGUUUCUGGGAAAUUUUACGUACUCUUUAGUGAACAACUACUACUGCCAUUUUAAGGAAAGGAUUAUCAGGUGGAGUUCAAGUCUUUUGCUCCUGCUUUAUGUGUGUGUCUGUGUUUAUUUGAUAUCUAUCACAAUUUCCCGACCUCCUUAGCCAAUACACUUUUAAGUGAUAGUUUUCCAGGCCUCCAUAUAUGGUUGUUGGCUUGUGCUUUUUUGUGUUUCUGGUUUUGUGGUCUUGAUUUUCUUGCUGUUGUCUGUUUGUGUUGGGCGUCUUAUUAUGUUCUCAUUUUGUCUUCUGAUAUAUCUUGAGGUCAUAAAGGUAAACCACUCUCCUCAUACUUUUUAGGGAAUCUAAUCUGAUUUAAUUUAGUGUAGUUAAUAGAAAAAAAAUAAGAAUGAAGUGAAACCUAUUUGUUGGUGUUGAUUCAGAAAUUAUCAUUUGAAGAAAGAAAUGGUGGAUUUAUUGAGCUAAGUUAGUUAAAAAAAUAAUGAAAUUAUGUUCCAGGUCAUUGAUCGAUAGAUAAAUAAUGUAGAAAAAAAUAGAUAAAAAAUGUACAAUGAGUGAAUGAGAAAAUAAAUUGUGAUGUUAUUGAACGGAAAAGCAACAAUUAAACUAUUAUUGAAUGGAUCAAACUGCUUCAAAUCAAAAUUGAAUAAUUAUUACCUGGCCCAAGAAAUAAUUUUUAAAUUACAAUUCAAUGAAGCCAUGGUUUCUUUAGGAGGAUUCUAUUAGUCUUUGUGAAUGGAUUGCUUAGCUCCAUUGAGCUUAUGCUCAAACUGGAUCUUCUACGUUCAUGUAUUCAUGUGUUGGAGAAGAGAGUAACGCAGGAUAUGACUGUAUAUGAGUUCCACUUCUCAUUUUACAUCUGUAGUCUUUUUAUUUUCAGUGUCUCCUUGAAAACAUUAUAUAUUCACUUUUGUAAUUGUAGAGGAUCUAGAUUGCCCUGUGCUAUCUCGUCUUAGUUGAUAUCAUACUCCUAAUUUAGCGUUUGGUUCUCUAUCCUCUUUUAAAUAAACCUUCUGCAUAUGUUGUUUAUGUGUUAGUGUGGGAAUAUAAGGUUACUCAGGGUCAUAGUUGUGAAUCUCCAGCGUUAGAUUUUAUGUAAAUAUUGGUUUCCUGGAAGGAAAGGAAAGAACUAAAAGGUCUGUGUCUGUUGAAUUGUAUUGAAGGUGUGCAAUCUGUGUAGGGCCUGCUCAUCAAGUUACCUGCUUAAAAUUGUAGCUUGAUAUUUUGUUGUACUGUCACAUAGAGAAGGGUCUGCUGAAUGUAAACUGCUGUUGAGUUACCAAUGCCCUUGUGGCAUAGUGGCAUGGCAGAAACUCCUCUAUAAGUGGGGCGUCAUGGGUUUGAUUCUGCUCAUUAUCUCAAGCUGUUAGCUUGCUCGUGUAAUCCAAAUGUGUGUCUGAAUUUAAAUUUUUGAGAAAUGCCUCUUUUGUUGGAAGUUUACAAUUUUGAAAUAUGUGCUACUGCUGCCUCCUACCCCCUCCUUAUAAAGCCUUUUUUUAAGAGAAUUGGGAGGAGCCUUAAUAUAUGGCAACAUCUUUGAGGUGAGAUUUUCCUUGGCGCUUUAUUUUAUUAAUCUUUUUGUGUGGCACUCCCCUCCCCCUUUCCUUAGGGGUCACGUAUUCAGAGAACUCUACCUUUACUACAAUGAUUUGCAUAGCCCUUUUAAAAGAUCAAAUGUUCUGCACAGGCCAUUAAAUUAUCAGUUGAACACUUGAAUAUUCUUUAACGUUACAAACUCAGUAUUUCCCAAGAAUCUUUCAAGCAUUAUAGCUGUCAAGUUUGAUAUUCAUGUUAUUAUCAACCAAUAAAAUUUUCUUUCUUAAAAUGUGUGCCUUUUUACCAAGUAAAUACGUUCCCUUCCUUAGGAUCAUUUUUAUUUACAAAACCAAUUUUAUUCUUUGAUUUCUUUCAGCUAAUUAUUUAUGAUGAGUGACCUGGCAAUUGUGGCAAAUCCACAUUUUCUACUAGGUAUUAUUAAGCCCAGUUAGCUGCUCUAGUUCCAGAUUGUGGAAGCUAUACAUCGAAUUGCAGGCUAAUUUCUUAUCUUUUCCUGUGGCAAUCUUGGAACUGAAGAACACCUUGAGUGGUUUUUCUGCCCACUGUAAGCCUGUCUUUUCUGUUCUGUGGUAGAGCCCAUUUUCUCUUAGCUUCUCUCAUUUUAUUCUGAAGUUAGAGUUUCCAGAAGCUGAGUAAAUCUAAUUUGUAUCCGUGGAUAUGCCUCAUGUUUCUUAUCUCAGACUAGUCUAGGAGUUGUUUUACCAAUUUGGGUCUAGAUAAACUGGCAAGACAUUGAUGUGAAAUUAUUGGAAGAAAAUUUCCAAUUGUUGGGUUUUUAGUUGUAAAGUACAAUUCUCUCUCUCCUUCACGAGUUUGGUGUGAGGCUGCAUUGAAGGAGUAUUAUGUUCUAUUGGGAAGUUUUUUUCCAUUUCUGAAGCAGCCAAGCAUAUUUGUAGCAUGACGCUGUUACUGGAAAGAUACAUUCAACACUGGAGCAGCCGAAUGUGGUUCUUAGUUGAGUUUAUGUGAUGUCCAGACGUGUAGUUGGAUCUGUUGUAACUUGUGAGUAGAUCAAUUGAUGCGCUGAAGGGGAGCUUUUGAUUGUUCAAGUUUGUAGUGAUUGUUUAGAGGUCACGUUAAUUUCUUCUCCAAAUUCCAUAUCUCUUGGCAAGGAUUUUUAAUUGAUGUUUACUAAUUAAGAUUGAAGUAGUUGACAAUGAAUUUUUUCCCCAUAAUAUAACAAGUUGAUUAUUCAGAGGUGUGACCUUGAUCUCUUAUCCAAAUUCCAGAUCUCGGCCAGGAUAUCUUGUUAAUUAUAACAGUAGGUUCAUGAGUGCGGUAAGUGAUCUUUGCUAAUUUGUUUAAGGCAUGACAAUUUGCUAACCUUGUUUUUUUUUGUCCUGUUUUGCUGCUGAGUACUGGCCUUGCCACCUAACUAGGAAAGAAGAAAUAAAUAAAGUUCUUGGAAUGAUUGUUAUGAAAAAGCCUUGUCAGUUCUGUUGUCAGUCAUGGCAGUUACUGAGAAGCUAUGAGCAAGUGUUGCUCGCCAAGUUAUCUGCAUUGUUGUAUGUGCUGUAGUUCAAUGAAAUGUCUUCUUUCAUCUUCUCUUACAAAUCCAUCUGCUCUGCCCGAUCUAUAUGUGAGAUCUUCAUAUUAUAGAAACUUAGCUGCUACUAAGUCUAUUCACCUUGAAUGACACGCUUUCCUGAUCUAAAUAUUAUAGCAGUAGCAGCUUAACUGCUAUUCAAACUUAUGUCCUGAAGAGCAUGUGUUUUACUGAUCUAUAGAUGAUGACUACACAUCAUAGCAGCUUAACUGCUAUUCAAACUUUUGUGGCACGUUCAGAGCAUUUGUUUCCUGACAUUGUAUAUUUAGAAGUUUUUGGUUAUGAAAGCCCAUUCAGCCUGCUUUUAUUUUAGUUUCUAUCCGCCUGACUGCCUGUUUUGUUCUAGAAUUAUGUGAUCCUUUUCCUGUUUCUUAGAGUGUGCUUUAUUGUGACAGUUGAAUGAUUUUUCUUUAAGGGUUAUGGCCAUUGGAACCUGUGAACUAUCUGUUGCUGCUGCUCUCCUUAUGAGUCACUUUUGAACAUUGUCAGGUACUCAGGAAAAUUGCUACCAUGGAUGAUUGUUGGAAAUGAAGCUGUUUGACUCAGGUGUUGCUAGGAAGAUGCAGUGAUUGAAAUGCUCAAUGUCAAUGGAUACAAGACCCAUUAAGUUAUAUCCGGUGUCCAUUUGAUGAGGUUUUCCUACAAAGGCCCAGGGGGGAAAAAAACUGGUUAUCAAGACAACCUUCUGAGAAAAAACCACAAGCUACUCUGGGAAUUUCAUGGAUCACAUUAUGUCAUUGUCUUAAAAAAGAGCACAAGGAGAAGUCAGGUCAAGUGUUAUUGAGGCUACAAGUACUGCUUAUGAUGCUUGGUUGCUUUGUAAAAGUAUUACAAGGGUCGUUCUGUAAUAUCCCAUGAGUACAGUUGGAGAAAGAUUGAUAAUUUUCAAUGUUGGGAGAGGGCUUUAGAAUGAUUGAUAACCUCCAUUGUUGGCUCAACAUUUGUGAAUGUCGAUUCUGACCCUAAUCAUACAAGUAUAAACACUUUCAAAGUUUA